GAUGAACGCUGGCGGCGUGCCUAAUACAUGCCAGUCGAGCGAACAGACGAGGAGCUUGCUCCUCUGACGUUAGCGGCGGACGGGUGAGUAACACGUGGAUAACCUACCUAUAAGACUGGGAUAACUUCGGGAAACCGGAGCUAAUACCGGAUAAUAUAUUGAACCGCAUGGUUCAAUAGUGAAAGACGGUUUUGCUGUCACUUAUAGAUGGAUCCGCGCCGCAUUAGCUAGUUGGUAAGGUAGCGGCUUACCAAGGCGACGAUGCGUAGCCGACCUGAGAGGGUGAUCGGCCACACUGGAACUGAGACACGGUCCAGACUCCUACGGGAGGCAGCAGUAGGGAAUCUUCCGCAAUGGGCGAAAGCCUGACGGAGCAACGCCGCGUGAGUGAUGAAGGUCUUCGGAUCGUAAAACUCUGUUAUUAGGGAAGAACAAAUGUGUAAGUAACUAUGCACGUCUUGACGGUACCUAAUCAGAAAGCCACGGCUAACUACGUG
rnacentral:rRNA from 1 species